rnacentral:rRNA from 1 species
UACGUAGGGUGCAAGCGUUGUCCGGAAUUAUUGGGCGUAAAGAGCUCGUAGGCGGUCUGUCACGUCGGAUGUGAAAACUCGGGGCUCAACCCCGAGCCUGCAUUCGAUACGGGCAGACUUGAGUUCGGCAGGGGAGACUGGAAUUCCAGGUGUAGCGGUGAAAUGCGUAGAUAUCUGGAGGAACACCGGUGGCGAAGGCGGCAUCCUGGACCGACACUGACACUGAGGAGCGAAAGCCAGGGGAGCAAACGGG